UACAGAGGUCCCGAGCGUUGUUCGGAUUCAUUGGGCGUAAAGGGUGCGUAGGCGGCGGGGCAAGUCUGAUGUGAAAUCCCGGGGCUCGACCCUGGAACUGCAUUGGAUACUGCCUUGCUAGAGUACUGGAGAGGAAACUGGAAUUUACGGUGUAGCAGUGAAAUGCGUAGAUAUCGUAAGGAAGACCAGUGGCGAAGGCGAGUUUCUGGACAGUUACUGACGCUGAGGCACGAAGGCCAGGGGAGCAAACGGG
rnacentral:rRNA from 1 species